rnacentral:tRNA from 1 species
GAUUGUAGCUCAGCAGUAGAGCACUUGCCUACCACGUGUGAGGCAGUGGGUUCGAUUCUCACCACUGCA